UGUUGACCGACGUGUCAACUUGAAUCUCUCUUCACCGGCGUUUCGAGGUCGGAGCGAUGGCGAAUCAGGGGGCGAAGAAGAGAAAGGAGGAGAACAGGAGGCACAUGGCUAACCUCCUCCGCCUCAUCAUCGCCUCCAAUAUUCGGUUGGCAAUAACCGGACGAUUUCGAAUGCCUCUGCUGUAGCUGUGCAUCUUCGGAAAGCGAUCGCCCACGAUCAGCGAGCGUCUCAACCCGGGAAUCGCCAUCUAGUAUGCGAGGACGCGUUAUAGUGUUUAGUUCAGGUUUAAGAAUUGUGUUACUGCCUCUAUGAUUAAGGAGAAUAAUACUUCUUAGCA